CUUCUGAAUUUUUUUUACAUUCUAGUUUUGCUAGUGAUGAAUACCAAGGAGUUAUGAGGCAGAUAUCUGCUGUGGUGCAGCAGCACAAGGAGACCAUGGUGCCAGGAGUGCCACAGCUCAACGUGUGCGACAAGGCUGUCAUGAAUUGGUCUCCCCCAGGCUGCGAGAAGCUAGGGAAGUGCCUGAAACCACCCAAGUCUGAUCCAAAGAAGUGCUUUUGGCCUCAUUGAUCUCUCCUGCAGCCUUCAGGAGCUGCCCAGCAAGCCCUCUAAACGCCUGGACACAGAGUUUACAAUGCAUCUCUUCUCAUGUUGGCACUCCUGUUUACCCAGGAAGGGUGUGAUGUAUGUGUGAUAUCAUCAUUUGCUCUUCCAAAAGGGACAGUGUUUAUAUUGCUAGUGCUCAGGGUUUAGCCUGUCCUCAUCUGUUGGUUUAGUUGUUUCCGUAAAUGGUAAAUUUUUCAGUGAGGACUGUUUUAACUGUGAAAGAUCUUUGGACAACCACAGCUCUGCCAUGAGCUCAGAAACACCACGGGUGCACCUUUCCUCUGGCUUCUUCCAGCUGACCUCUGGACUCACUGCUCGUGUGGAUGCCCCAGCAGCAGCCAUAGGAGACUGCUCAGGAAAUGUACAGCCCUGCCCAAGCUGCUGCCCUUGUUUUGUUUGCAUAUAACUUGUUGUUUUAACAUUUCAUUUCCAUUGUGAACUCUUUGGACACCGACUUGUUUUUGCCUGUUGUUCCUAAGCUUGCAAGUACUGGGUGCAGCCGUACGGCCCACACUGCUGCUGUGCAUGCCUGAGUGCAAACAAGUGCUGCAUUCUCUUCUCAACUAAGGCUCAGCACAGGCAGAAUGCCCUGCAUUUUUUUUCUUUCUGUAGCUGCAAACGCUCACCAGGUCACAGUGUAAAGAAAUUUGCAGAUAGUGUUCCUGUAAGAACUGCCUCAUUGAUGGUGCGCAGAGCGUUCUCGGGGAGCUGGGGCUCUGUUGUUCACUUGUGGGAUUUUCUUUAUUUCCAAAAAUCUAGAUCCAAAUAUGGUGUAAGUCACUCUUUUAGUCUCGUGACCUGGGCCCAACCAACUGCAGGCUCAGAAAUGCCCAUUUACAUCACACGUUAACUCUUGACCCUGUUUCCAGCGUAUGCUCUCCGAGGAAUUCUCCUUGUGCAAACUCUCCCCAGCCUGGGUGUAGCACUUCUCUAAACAGAGUUCAUGGUAAAUGCAGAUUCUUCGCAUAAUUUCACAUUGUAAAUUGCUCAUCCCGUUUUGAGUCUGUUUUUCACUCCCCUCACUGUUGCUAAUAAAUGUCUCUCGAACAGAA